CACACCGCCCGUCACGCUAUGGAAGCCGCUAACACCUGAAGUCGCUGAGCCAACCGCAAGGAGGCAGGCGCCUAGGGUGGGAGGGGUAACUGGAGCG
rnacentral:rRNA from 1 species